rnacentral:rRNA from 1 species
AACGAACGCUGGCGGCAUGCCUAACACAUGCAAGUCGAACGAAGCCUUCGGGCUUAGUGGCGCACGGGUGCGUAACGCGUGGGAGUCUGCCCCUUGCUUCGGAAUAACAGUUAGAAAUGACUGCUAAUACCGGAUGAAGUCUUCGGACCAAAGAUUUAUCGGCAAGGGAUGAGCCCGCGUAGGAUUAGGUAGUUGGUGGGGUAAAGGCCUACCAAGCCGACGAUCCUUAGCUGGUCUGAGAGGAUGAUCAGCCACACUGGGACUGAGACACGGCCCAGACUCCUACGGGAGGCAGCAGUGGGGAAUAUUGGACAAUGGACGCAAGUCUGAUCCAGCAAUGCCGCGUGAGUGAUGAAGGCCUUAGGGUUGUAAAGCUCUUUUACCAGGGAUGAUAAUGACAGUACCUGGAGAAUAAGCUCCGGCUAACUCCGUG